rnacentral:misc_RNA from 1 species
UACCUUGUGACCCGGUUCAGC